UUAAGCGACUAAGCGUACACGGUGGAUGCCCUGGCAGUCAGAGGCGAUGAAGGACGUGCUAAUCUGCGAUAAGCGUCGGUAAGGUGAUAUGAACCGUUAUAACCGGCGAUUUCCGAAUGGGGAAACCCAGUGUGAUUCGUCACACUAUCAUUAACUGAAUCCAUAGGUUAAUGAGGCGAACCGGGGGAACUGAAACAUCUAAGUACCCCGAGGAAAAGAAAUCAACCGAGAUUCCCCCAGUAGCGGCGAGCGAACGGGGAGCAGCCCAGAGCCUGAAUCAGUGUGUGUGUUAGUGGAAGCGUCUGGAAAGGCGCGCGAUACAGGGUGACAGCCCCGUACACAAAAAUGCACAUGCUGUGAGCUCGAUGAGUAGGGCGGGACACGUGGUAUCCUGUCUGAAUAUGGGGGGACCAUCCUCCAAGGCUAAAUACUCCUGACUGACCGAUAGUGAACCAGUACCGUGAGGGAAAGGCGAAAAGAACCCCGGCGAGGGGAGUGAAAAAGAACCUGAAACCGUGUACGUACAAGCAGUGGGAGCCUCUUUAUGGGGUGACUGCGUACCUUUUGUAUAAUGGGUCAGCGACUUAUAUUCUGUAGCAAGGUUAACCGAAUAGGGGAGCCGAAGGGAAACCGAGUCUUAACUGGGCGUUAAGUUGCAGGGUAUAGACCCGAAACCCGGUGAUCUAGCCAUGGGCAGGUUGAAGGUUGGGUAACACUAACUGGAGGACCGAACCGACUAAUGUUGAAAAAUUAGCGGAUGACUUGUGGCUGGGGGUGAAAGGCCAAUCAAACCGGGAGAUAGCUGGUUCUCCCCGAAAGCUAUUUAGGUAGCGCCUCGUGAAUUCAUCUCCGGGGGUAGAGCACUGUUUCGGCAAGGGGGUCAUCCCGACUUACCAACCCGAUGCAAACUGCGAAUACCGGAGAAUGUUAUCACGGGAGACACACGGCGGGUGCUAACGUCCGUCGUGAAGAGGGAAACAACCCAGACCGCCAGCUAAGGUCCCAAAGUCAUGGUUAAGUGGGAAACGAUGUGGGAAGGCCCAGACAGCCAGGAUGUUGGCUUAGAAGCAGCCAUCAUUUAAAGAAAGCGUAAUAGCUCACUGGUCGAGUCGGCCUGCGCGGAAGAUGUAACGGGGCUAAACCAUGCACCGAAGCUGCGGCAGCGACGCUUAUGCGUUGUUGGGUAGGGGAGCGUUCUGUAAGCCUGUGAAGGUGUGCUGUGAGGCAUGCUGGAGGUAUCAGAAGUGCGAAUGCUGACAUAAGUAACGAUAAAGCGGGUGAAAAGCCCGCUCGCCGGAAGACCAAGGGUUCCUGUCCAACGUUAAUCGGGGCAGGGUGAGUCGACCCCUAAGGCGAGGCCGAAAGGCGUAGUCGAUGGGAAACAGGUUAAUAUUCCUGUACUUGGUGUUACUGCGAAGGGGGGACGGAGAAGGCUAUGUUGGCCGGGCGACGGUUGUCCCGGUUUAAGCGUGUAGGCUGGUUUUCCAGGCAAAUCCGGAAAAUCAAGGCUGAGGCGUGAUGACGAGGCACUACGGUGCUGAAGCAACAAAUGCCCUGCUUCCAGGAAAAGCCUCUAAGCAUCAGGUAACAUCAAAUCGUACCCCAAACCGACACAGGUGGUCAGGUAGAGAAUACCAAGGCGCUUGAGAGAACUCGGGUGAAGGAACUAGGCAAAAUGGUGCCGUAACUUCGGGAGAAGGCACGCUGAUAUGUAGGUGAGGUCCCUCGCGGAUGGAGCUGAAAUCAGUCGAAGAUACCAGCUGGCUGCAACUGUUUAUUAAAAACACAGCACUGUGCAAACACGAAAGUGGACGUAUACGGUGUGACGCCUGCCCGGUGCCGGAAGGUUAAUUGAUGGGGUUAGCGGUAACGCGAAGCUCUUGAUCGAAGCCCCGGUAAACGGCGGCCGUAACUAUAACGGUCCUAAGGUAGCGAAAUUCCUUGUCGGGUAAGUUCCGACCUGCACGAAUGGCGUAAUGAUGGCCAGGCUGUCUCCACCCGAGACUCAGUGAAAUUGAACUCGCUGUGAAGAUGCAGUGUACCCGCGGCAAGACGGAAAGACCCCGUGAACCUUUACUAUAGCUUGACACUGAACAUUGAGCCUUGAUGUGUAGGAUAGGUGGGAGGCUUUGAAGUGUGGACGCCAGUCUGCAUGGAGCCGACCUUGAAAUACCACCCUUUAAUGUUUGAUGUUCUAACGUUGACCCGUAAUCCGGGUUGCGGACAGUGUCUGGUGGGUAGUUUGACUGGGGCGGUCUCCUCCUAAAGAGUAACGGAGGAGCACGAAGGUUGGCUAAUCCUGGUCGGACAUCAGGAGGUUAGUGCAAUGGCAUAAGCCAGCUUGACUGCGAGCGUGACGGCGCGAGCAGGUGCGAAAGCAGGUCAUAGUGAUCCGGUGGUUCUGAAUGGAAGGGCCAUCGCUCAACGGAUAAAAGGUACUCCGGGGAUAACAGGCUGAUACCGCCCAAGAGUUCAUAUCGACGGCGGUGUUUGGCACCUCGAUGUCGGCUCAUCACAUCCUGGGGCUGAAGUAGGUCCCAAGGGUAUGGCUGUUCGCCAUUUAAAGUGGUACGCGAGCUGGGUUUAGAACGUCGUGAGACAGUUCGGUCCCUAUCUGCCGUGGGCGCUGGAGAACUGAGGGGGGCUGCUCCUAGUACGAGAGGACCGGAGUGGACGCAUCACUGGUGUUCGGGUUGUCAUGCCAAUGGCACUGCCCGGUAGCUAAAUGCGGAAGAGAUAAGUGCUGAAAGCAUCUAAGCACGAAACUUGCCCCGAGAUGAGUUCUCCCUGACUCCUUGAGAGUCCUGAAGGAACGUUGAAGACGACGACGUUGAUAGGCCGGGUGU
rnacentral:rRNA from 1 species